CCGGAAGAUGCGUUAUCUAGUGGCGGACCGGGUGAGUAACACGUGGGUAACCUGCCUUAUGGAGGGGGAUAACAGAGAGAAAUCACUGCUAAUACCGCAUAAGCACACAUUGCCGCAUGGCAGAGUGUGAAAAGAUUUAUCGCCAUAAGAUGGACCCGCGUCUGAUUAGCCAGUUGGCAGGGUAAAAGCCUACCAAAGCAACGAUCAGUAGCCGAUCUGAGAGGAUGACCGGCCACAUUGGGACUGAGACACGGCCCAAACUCCUACGGGAGGCAGCAGUGGGGAAUAUUGCACAAUGGGGGAAACCCUGAUGCAGCGACGCCGCGUGAGUGAAGAAGUAUUUCGGUAUGUAAAGCUCUAUCAGCAGGGAAGAUAAUGACAGUACCUGACUAAGAAGCCCCGGCUAACUACGUGCCAGCAGCCGCGGUAAUACGUAGGGGGCAAGCGUUAUCCGGAUUUACUGGGUGUAAAGGGAGCGUAGACGGAAUGGCAAGUCUGAAGUGAAAACCCCGGGCUCAACCUGGGGACUGCUUUGGAAACUGUUGUUCUAGAGUGUUGGAGAGGUAAGUGGAAUUCCUGGUGUAGCGGUGAAAUGCGUAGAUAUCAGGAAGAACACCGGAGGCGAAGGCGGCUUACUGGACAAUAACUGACGUUGAGGCUCGAAAGCGUGGGGAUCAAACAGGAUUAGAUACCCUGGUAGUCCACGCUGUAAACGAUGAAUACUAGGUGUCGGGGAGCAAAGCUUCUCGGUGCCGUCGCUAACGCAAUAAGUAUUCCACCUGGGGAGUACGUUCGCAAGAAUGAAACUCAAAGGAAUUGACGGC
rnacentral:rRNA from 1 species